AUUGAACGCUGGCGGCAGGCUUAACACAUGCAAGUCGAGCGGGGUGAUGGUGCUUGCACUAUCACUUAGCGGCGGACGGGUGAGUAAUGCUUAGGAAUCUGCCUAUUAGUGGGGGACAACAUCUCGAAAGGGAUGCUAAUACCGCAUACGUCCUACGGGAGAAAGCAGGGGAUCACUUGUGACCUUGCGCUAAUAGAUGAGCCUAAGUCGGAUUGGCUAGUUGGUGGGGUAAAGGCCUACCAAGGCGACGAGCUGUAGCGGGUCUGAGAGGAUGAUCCGCCACACUGGGACUGAGACACGGCCCAGACUCCUACGGGAGGCAGCAGUGGGGAAUAUUGGACAAUGGGGGGAACCCUGAUCCAGCCAUGCCGCGUGUGUGAAGAAGGCCUUAUGGUUGUAAAGCACUUUAAGCGAGGAGGAGGCUCUUUUGGUUAAUACCCAAGAUGAGUGGACGUUACUCGCAGAAUAAGCACCGGCUAACUCUGUGCCAGCCGCCGCAGUAA
rnacentral:rRNA from 1 species